UACGAAGGGGGCUAGCGUUGUUCGGAAUUACUGGGCGUAAAGGGCGCGCAGGCGGCCCGGCCAGUCGGACGUGAAAGCCCGGGGCUCAACCCCGGAACGGCGUCCGAGACGGCCGGGCUGGAGACCGGGAGAGGAGGGUGGAAUAGCCAGUGUAGAGGUGAAAUUCGUAGAUAUUGGCUGGAACACCGGUGGCGAAAGCGGCUCUCUGGCCCGGGUCUGACGCUGAGGCGCGAAAGCGUGGGGAGCAAACAGG
rnacentral:rRNA from 1 species